CCUACGGGAGGCUGCAGUGGGGAAUAUUGCACAAUGGGCGCAAGCCUGAUGCAGCCAUGCCGCGUGUGUGAAGAAGGCCUUCGGGUUGUAAAGCACUUUCAGCGGGGAGGAAGGCGGUGAGGUUAAUAACCUCAUCGAUUGACGUUACCCGCAGAAGAAGCACCGGCUAACUCCGUGCCAGCAGCCGCGGUAAUACGGAGGGUGCAAGCGUUAAUCGGAAUUACUGAGCGUAAAGCGCACGCAGGCGGUCUGUCAAGUCGGAUGUGAAAUCCCCGGGCUCAACCUGGGAACUGCAUUCGAAACUGGCAGGCUAGAGUCUUGUAGAGGGGGGUAGAAUUCCAGGUGUAGCGGUGAAAUGCGUAGAGAUCUGGAGGAAUACCGGUGGCGAAGGCGGCCCCCUGGACAAAGACUGACGCUCAGGUGCGAAAGCGUGGGGAGCAAACAGGAUUAGAUACCCUUGUAGUC
rnacentral:rRNA from 1 species